rnacentral:tRNA from 1 species
GUGUCGGUAGCUUAGUUGGUAAAGCACUUGUCUAGCGUAUAAGAGUCGUGAGAUCAAUUCUCACCUGCGAUG